UACAGAGGUGGCAAGCGUUGUUCGGAAUUACUGGGCGUAAAGGGCGAGUAGGUGGCCAUCUAAGUCAGACGUGAAAUCCCCCGGCUUAACCUGGGAACUGCGUCUGAUACUGGACGGCUUGAGUAUGGGAGAGGAACGUAGAAUUCCAGGUGUAGCGGUGAAAUGCGUAGAUAUCUGGAGGAAUACCGGUGGCGAAGGCGGCAUCCUGGACCGGCAUUGACGCUGAGGCGCGAAAGCCAGGGGAGCAAACGGG
rnacentral:rRNA from 1 species